GACGAACGCUGGCGGCGUGCUUAACUCAUGCAAGUCGAACGGAAAGGCCCUGCUUUUGUGGGGUGCUCGAGUGGCGAACGGGUGAGUAACACGUGAGUAACCUGCCCUUGACUUUGGGAUAACUUCAGGAAACUGGGGCUAAUACCGGAUAGGAGCUCCUGCUGCAUGGUGGGGGUUGGAAAGUUUCGGCGGUUGGGGAUGGACUCGCGGCUUAUCAGCUUGUUGGUGGGGUAGUGGCUUACCAAGGCUUUGACGGGUAGCCGGCCUGAGAGGGUGACCGGCCACAUUGGGACUGAGAUACGGCCCAGACUCCUACGGGAGGCAGCAGUGGGGAAUAUUGCACAAUGGGCGGAAGCCUGAUGCAGCAACGCCGCGUGCGGGAUGACGGCCUUCGGGUUAUAAACCGCUUUCGCCUGUGACGAAGCGUGAGUGACGGUAAUGGGUAAAGAAGCACCGGCUAACUACGUG
rnacentral:rRNA from 1 species